rnacentral:rRNA from 1 species
AACGAACGCUGGCGGCAUGCCUAACACAUGCAAGUCGAACGAAGGCUUCGGCCUUAGUGGCGCACGGGUGCGUAACGCGUGGGAAUCUGCCCUUUGCUUCGGAAUAACUCAGGGAAACUUGAGCUAAUACCGGAUGAUGUCGCAAGACCAAAGAUUUAUCGGCAAAGGAUGAGCCCGCGUAGGAUUAGCUAGUUGGUGGGGUAAUGGCCUACCAAGGCGACGAUCCUUAGCUGGUCUGAGAGGAUGAUCAGCCACACUGGGACUGAGACACGGCCCAGACUCCUAGGGGAGGCAGCAGUGGGGAAUAUUAGACAAUGGGCGAAAGCCGGAUCCAGCAAGGCCGCAUGAGUGAUGAAGGCCUUAGGGUUGUAAAGCUCUUUUACCAGGGAUGAUAAUGACAGUACCUGGAGAAUAAGCUCCGGCUAACUCCGUGCCAGCAGCCGCCGCAGUAA